ACGGUUUCCGGUUCACGCCUGCCGCAGGGGUAUGGCGACCCGGACC
rfam:Scardovia inopinata F0304 genomic scaffold supercont1.1, whole genome shotgun sequence.